rnacentral:rRNA from 1 species
UACAGAGGGUGCGAGCGUUAAUCGGAAUUACUGGGCGUAAAGCGCGCGUAGGCGGCUUUGCAAGUCGGGUGUGAAAUCCCCAGGCUUAACCUGGGAACUGCAUUCGAGACUGCAUUGCUAGAGUGCGGCAGAGGGGGAUGGAAUUCCGCGUGUAGCAGUGAAAUGCGUAGAUAUGCGGAGGAACACCGAUGGCGAAGGCAGGUCUCUGGGCCGAUACUGACGCUGAGGAGCGAAAGCGUGGGGAGCGAACAGG